rnacentral:rRNA from 1 species
UAUCGGAUUGAUACUAAGCCAUGCGAGUCAUUGUAGCAAUACAAGGCAUACGGCUCAGUAACGCGUAGUCAACCUAACCUAUGGACGGGAAUAACCUCGGGAAACUGAGAAUAAUGCCCGAUAGAACAUUAUGCCUGGAAUGGUUUAUGUUCCAAAUGAUUUAUCGCCGUAGGAUGGGACUGCGGCCUAUCAGUUUGUUGGUGAGGUAAUGGCCCACCAAGACUAUUACAGGUACGGGCUCUGAGAGGAGUAGCCCGGAGAUGGGUACUGAGACACGGACCCAGGCCCUAUGGGGCGCAGCAGGCGAGAAAACUUUGCAAUGUGCGAAAGCACGACAAGGUUAAUCCGAGUGGUUUCUGCUAAAGGAACCUUUUGUCAGUCCUAGAAACACUGAUGAAUAAGGGGUGGGCAAGUUCUGGUGUCAGCCGCCGCGGUAAAACCAGCACCUCAAGUGGUCAGGAUGAUUAUUGGGCCUAAAGCAUCCGUAGCCGGCUCUGUAAGUUUUCGGUUAAAUCUGUACGCUCAACGUACAGGCUGCCGGGAAUACUGCAAAGCUAGGGAGUGGGAGAGGUAGACGGUACUCGGUAGGAAGGGGUAAAAUCCUUUGAUCUAUUGAUGACCACCUGUGGCGAAGGCGGUCUACCAGAACACGUCCGACGGUGAGGGAUGAGAGCUGGGGGAGCAAACCGGAUUAGAUACCCGGGUAGUCCCAGCUGUAAACCAUGCAAACUCAGUGAUGCAUUGGCUUGUGGCCAAUGCAGUGCUGCAGGGAAGCCGUUAAGUUUGCCGCCUGGGAAGUACGUACGCAAGUAUGAAACUUAAAGGAAUUGGCGGGGGAGCACCACAAGGGGUGAAGCCUGCGGUUCAAUUGGAGUC